AUUGAACGCUGGCGGCAUGCCUUACACAUGCAAGUCGAACGGUAAAAGGUCUUCGGACGCUGACGAGUGGCGAACGGGUGAGUAAUACAUCGGAACGUGCCCAGUCGUGGGGGAUAACUACUCGAAAGAGUAGCUAAUAACGCAUACGAUCUGAGGAUGAAAGCGGGGGACCUUCGGGCCUCUCGCGCUUGGAGCGGCCGAUGGCAGAUUUGGUAGUUGGUGGGAUAAAAGCUUACCAGGCCGACGAUCUGUAGCUGGUCUGGCAGGACGACCAGCCACACUGGGACUGAGACACGGCCCAGACUCCUACGGGAGGCAGCAGUGGGGAAUUUUGGACAAUGGGCGAAAGCCUGAUCCAGCAAUGCCGCGUGCAGGAUGAAGGCCUUCGGGUUGUAAACUGCUUUUGUACGGAACGAAAAAGCUCCUUCUAAUACAGGGGGCCCAUGACGGUACCGUAAGAAUAAGCACCGGCUAACUACGUGCCAGCCGCCGCCGUAA
rnacentral:rRNA from 1 species